UACGAAGGGGGCUAGCGUUGUUCGGAAUUACUGGGCGUAAAGCGCGUGUAGGCGGGCCUUUAAGUCAGGGGUGAAAUGCCAAGGCUCAACCUUGGAACUGCCUUUGAUACUGGAGACCUUGAGUCCGGGAGAGGUGAGUGGAAUUGCAAGUGUAGAGGUGAAAUUCGUAGAUAUUCGGAAGAACACCAGUGGCGAAGGCGGCUCACUGGCCCGGAACUGACGCUGAGAUACGAAAGCGUGGGGAGCAAACAGG
rnacentral:rRNA from 1 species